UUAAGUGAGAGACCUGCCAGAUUCAGCUCCUUUGGGGAUUAAAUAAAGAAGUGGAAAGGCUCCUGCCACUUAUCAUUUUGCUUUCCAAAAUCCAACUCCUCCAGAGAGCUCACCAUGGCCUGGGCAUUGUCCUUCCUUGUCCUUCUCGGCUACCUUUCAGGUGUCAUUUCACAGCCUACUAUGACCCAACCUGCCUCUGUGGCUGCACCCCCGAGACAAACUACUAAACUCUCCUGCACCGCCAGCGGAAGCGUGAGCUAUAUUGUCUGGAUUCAGCAAAAACCUGGCCAGGCCCCUCGCUUUGUGCACUGUGAUAUUGGCUGCAGCAGGGGAACAGGGAUCCCAGACCGGUUCACCGCCUCCCGCUCUGGAACCACAGGCUAUUUGACCAUCACCGGCACUGAGACUGAAGAUGAGGCUGACUAUUACUGUGUUGCUUGGUUCAGCAGCAUGUGGCACAGUGCUAAAGUCUGA